GUCUACAGCCAUGCUACCCUGAACAAGCUUGAUCCUGUCUGAUCUUGGAAGCUAAGUAGGGUCAGGCCUGGUUAGUACUUGGAUGGGAGACCAUCUAGGAAGAUCAGGUGCUGUAGGUG
rnacentral:rRNA from 1 species